ACAGGCUCAGGCCUCCUUUUGCUCCUUGGUCUAGAGAUUAGUGGUGACCUAUCUCUUUCCUGGUGACUGAGUCUCAAAAGUCCGUGAGCUGCAUGGUUAAGAGCAAGGGAUUGCAUUUAUUUCUGUGGAGAAGAAAAUAGGAGGCACGUUGCUCAAAAGGCACAGGACCGAGAGUAAAAAAGAAAAAAAGAGAAAAAGAAAGCAAGCCAGCUGAAAGUUGGAACCCGUUUCCUUCUGGAUAUUUGUGGUUUUGUGAUCCAUCGCUGAAAACGACAUGUUUCACAGUGAAGCUAAAAUCAAUCUAUUACACUAUAUUUAACUUUGAUGAAUAUGAAAAUCAUGAUCUAAUUUCUACUAAUCUAUUUUUUUCCCCCCUGGUAAUGCUGGCUAUGCUGUAAGAUGAUGCCUUCAGUGUUAUCUCCACGUGGUUAUCAUGAAAAGGAUGUCAAGCACAGAAGUGUGACUUCAAAGGGAAAGAGACGACCAGAGGGGACUGGGCACCCAGGACACACAUAGGAGGGGCACUGCUGCAAACUGAGCCCAGACAGGAACAUUCAAUGAACAAACAUCCUGGUGACAGCCGUCACUGCCAGCCAUCUUCUUGCAUCCUGAAUGAACCAACAGACUUCAAAGGAGUCCUCCUCCCUAACCUUCCUGGGAUGAAAAGGUCCAUUGCCCUGUAGGAGCCCAGUGGCCCCUCUGAACAGUACUCAGCAUGUCUCAGUCCUCCAGGGCCACAUUACUUGGACAAUUGCCCUGCAGUGCCCCCAAUCCAAUGGCCCCUUUCCCAUUGAACGGGCAUCUCUGCUUCCAGAGCCUGAGUCAAGUUCCCCUGGCGGUGGAGGACCUGGCCCAGGUUAACUGAUUGGGAACAGGACCAGCCGCUUCUCUCCACGGGCACUGCCAGGGACAUUACAACAUCGGCUAUGCUGGGCUCUCGCCAGCUCCCCCAGGGAUGGGAGGAGAGAGGGUACCAGACAGCCAAGAUUGGUGGGUGGGGGUGUGGGGCCGCCAGGGCCAAGCUCCCAGACGGAAAGAGAGGGGGCGGGGCUGGGGCAGUAGCAAACAGUAGACUUUGGUGCAACUUGGGGAGC